CGCCGCCUCCCUGCCCAUCUCUUCCUCUCUCAAUUUUUGCAGCCACCAAACCCUAGCCGCCCCCCCACAAUCCCCUCCUCCCAAGGUGCCAAUCCUUGCCGCUCGGAUCAUCGUCGUCGUGGUGCGAGUCUUCAAUCGUUUUGGUGGAGGGAAGAAGGGAGGAAGGAAAGGGGGAGAAUUCAAGGUGAUUUUUGUGUUCAUUCCUUGUUCAUUUGCGCUGCAAUUUAAUUGAUUAGAGGUUGCGUUUGCGAUUGGGUAGAGGGGGUUGUCCAGAAUUUUAGGUGGUGGGUGAACAGCAAUAGUCUAGCAGUUUCUGUGUUUUUUCGUGAGGAAUUAAGGGAAAUCAGUUUGGGGAUCAUGUAGAACUUUACCUUACCUUUCCAACGAGUAUUUAUGCGCUCAAUUUGGAGUUAUAAAUUGAAAGUUAUCACCGUUUGAAUCCGGGUAUGUGGCUGUCCAAAAAAACAGAUUUUCAGGGGGAUGAACAGCAGCAGUAUUAGCAGUUUCUGGGAAUUUUUCGGGAGUAAUUAGUGCUAAUCAGUAUGAGAAUCAUGUAGGGCUUUAUGUUAUCUUUCCAACAAGUACUUAUGCGCUCGAUUCGGAGUUAUAAUUCAGGAGAUAUCGUUGUCUGAAUCCGGUUAUGUUGCUGUCCAAUAAAACAGAUUUUUCAGGUGGGUGAACAGCAGUGGUAUUAGCAGUUUCUGGGAAUUUUUCGUGGGUAAUUAGUGUUAACCAGUAUGAUAAUCAUGUAGGGAUUUGUCUUAUCUUUCCAAUGAGUACUUAUGCGCUUGAUUUGGAAUUAUAUUUUAAAAGAUAUCGCUGUUUGAAUCGGGGUAUGUCGCUGUCCAAAAGACAAAGAAAAACAGAUUACAGGGUUCAUCUUGUGGACUGUUUUGGGCUAAUUAGAUAUUGGAAUUUAAUUAUAAAUUGUAUACAAAACUUGUGGGGAAUUUUAUGUAGAUGCCUCUGGAGUUUUUGUUUGUUACCACUGCUGUCAUAAUUUUAAAGUUAUGAAAUUAUUAAGCAGCGUCGCUGCAGUUUGGUGGGUGUAGGGAGAGAUGUAACCCGCGGCGGGGUUUGAGUUUGUGCGUAAGUGCGGCGUCGCUUAUGAGCCUGAUUAUGUGAAAUUGGUGUACUAAGUUGGGUGUCAAAAACAGGUGGUGGACUUCCGG
rnacentral:lncRNA from 1 species